GCCGGGCGUGGUGGCGGGCGCCUGUAGUCCCAGCUACUCGGAGGCUGAGGCGGAAGAAUGGCGUGAACCCGGGAGGCGGAGCUUGCAGUGAGCCGAGAUCCGGCCACUGCGCUCCAGCCUGGGCGACAGAGCGAGACUCCGUCUCAA
rnacentral:SRP_RNA from 1 species